UCUGUGCUUCUCUGACUGCUGGUUAAUUUUGAGUACUUCCCAGAGGCUUUCGUCUCCUAGGAGGCACAUAACCACCAGCUGUCCCUGCUUAGCAACUUCUGCAGAAAGAGAGUGCCUUUUCCCCCUACAGUAUUCUUCGCUGCAACUCAGGGAAGGAUUCUCAGUUUCCCUACUUGGGCUACGUGUCACUGCUGCCUGAACACAGACCACUAGGCUUUGUUCGUCCUUAGUCCUAUGCCCACUCCUCCAAGUAGCAGAAGAAAGACGAUGGAAAUGUUUGCCGAACAGACAACACCCAAGAAGUACUCUAGCAGGCCUAAAACCUAAGCAGGAUUGGUUUAGGUACAAGCAUGUGAUGUG
rnacentral:lncRNA from 1 species